rnacentral:tRNA from 3 species
GCGCGGGUGCCGGAGCGGUCAAACGGAACAGACUCAAAAUCUGUCAGCUUAGUGCUUACGCAGGUUCGAAUCCUGUCCCGCGCA